UUAACUCCAAAGACGGGGAGGAGUAAGGAAUAUACGCUCCUAAGAGAGGGGAAUUCUUAGGCUGAGAAAUUCCCUGGCAGCGGUAUCCCGAAGGUAGCCCCUGAGGAAUGAAAUUGAAUGUAUCUGGCAUAGCCAGCUAAGGCUAAGGCUAAGGCUAAGGCUAAGGCUAAGGUUAAGGUUAAGGUUAAGGUUAAGGUUAAGGUUAAGAUAACUAUAUUUUUUAGUUUUUUUCUUAAUCUUAACCUAGCGCAGCGAAACCUUUACCUUUUGUUGGCUUUGCCAACAAACUGUAGUUUUCAUCGGGUUAGCCCGUUAUAGCUUUAGUAAGAGUCACACUAAUAGUGUGAAAUUAAGGUGGUACCGCGGAAGAAUGCCUCUUUCGUCCUUGGG
rnacentral:ncRNA from 1 species